rnacentral:rRNA from 1 species
GGCGUGUGACUGCGUACCUUUUGUAUAAUGGGUCAGCGACUUAUAUUCUGUAGCAAGGUUAACCGAAUAGGGGAGCCGAAGGGAAACCGAGUCUUAACUGGGCGUUAAGUUGCAGGGUAUAGACCCGAAACCCGGUGAUCUAGCCAUGGGCAGGUUGAAGGUUGGGUAACACUAACUGGAGGACCGAACCGACUAAUGUUGAAAAAUUAGCGGAUGACUUGUGGCUGGGGGUGAAAGGCCAAUCAAACCGGGAGAUAGCUGGUUCUCCCCGAAAGCUAUUUAGGUAGCGCCUCGUGAAUUCAUCUCCGGGGGUAGAGCACUGUUUCGGCAAGGGGGUCAUCCCGACUUACCAACCCGAUGCAAACUGCGAAUACCGGAGAAUGUUAUCACGGGAGACACACGGCGGGUGCUAACGUCCGUCGUGAAGAGGGAAACAACCCAGACCGCCAGCUAAGGUCCCAAAGUCAUGGUUAAGUGGGAAACGAUGUGGGAAGGCCCAGACAGCCAGGAUGUUGGCUUAGAAGCAGCCAUCAUUUAAAGAAAGCGUAAUAGCUCACUGGUCGAGUCGGCCUGCGCGGAAGAUGUAACGGGGCUAAACCAUGCACCGAAGCUGCGGCAGCGACACUGUGUGUUGUUGGGUAGGGGAGCGUUCUGUAAGCCUGUGAAGGUGUACUGUGAGGUAUGCUGGAGGUAUCAGAAGUGCGAAUGCUGACAUAAGUAACGAUAAAGCGGGUGAAAAGCCCGCUCGCCGGAAGACCAAGGGUUCCUGUCCAACGUUAAUCGGGGCAGGGUGAGUCGACCCCUAAGGCGAGGCCGAAAGGCGUAGUCGAUGGGAAACAGGUUAAUAUUCCUGUACUUGGUGUUACUGCGAAGGGGGGACGGAGAAGGCUAUGUUGGCCGGGCGACGGUUGUCCCGGUUUAAGCGUGUAGGCUGGUUUUCCAGGCAAAUCCGGAAAAUCAAGGCUGAGGCGUGAUGACGAGGCACUACGGUGCUGAAGCAACAAAUGCCCUGCUUCCAGGAAAAGCCUCUAAGCAUCAGGUAACAUCAAAUCGUACCCCAAACCGACACAGGUGGUCAGGUAGAGAAUACCAAGGCGCUUGAGAGAACUCGGGUGAAGGAACUAGGCAAAAUGGUGCCGUAACUUCGGGAGAAGGCACGCUGAUAUGUAGGUGAAGUCCCUCGCGGAUGGAGCUGAAAUCAGUCGAAGAUACCAGCUGGCUGCAACUGUUUAUUAAAAACACAGCACUGUGCAAACACGAAAGUGGACGUAUACGGUGUGACGCCUGCCCGGUGCCGGAAGGUUAAUUGAUGGGGUUAGCGGUAACGCGAAGCUCUUGAUCGAAGCCCCGGUAAACGGCGGCCGUAACUAUAACGGUCCUAAGGUAGCGAAAUUCCUUGUCGGGUAAGUUCCGACCUGCACGAAUGGCGUAAUGAUGGCCAGGCUGUCUCCACCCGAGACUCAGUGAAAUUGAACUCGCUGUGAAGAUGCAGUGUACCCGCGGCAAGACGGAAAGACCCCGUGAACCUUUACUAUAGCUUGACACUGAACAUUGAGCCUUGAUGUGUAGGAUAGGUGGGAGGCUUUGAAGUGUGGACGCCAGUCUGCAUGGAGCCGACCUUGAAAUACCACCCUUUAAUGUUUGAUGUUCUAACGUUGACCCGUAAUCCGGGUUGCGGACAGUGUCUGGUGGGUAGUUUGACUGGGGCGGUCUCCUCCUAAAGAGUAACGGAGGAGCACGAAGGUUGGCUAAUCCUGGUCGGACAUCAGGAGGUUAGUGCAAUGGCAUAAGCCAGCUUGACUGCGAGCGUGACGGCGCGAGCAGGUGCGAAAGCAGGUCAUAGUGAUCCGGUGGUUCUGAAUGGAAGGGCCAUCGCUCAACGGAUAAAAGGUACUCCGGGGAUAACAGGCUGAUACCGCCCAAGAGUUCAUAUCGACGGCGGUGUUUGGCACCUCGAUGUCGGCUCAUCACAUCCUGGGGCUGAAGUAGGUCCCAAGGGUAUGGCUGUUCGCCAUUUAAAGUGGUACGCGAGCUGGGUUUAGAACGUCGUGAGACAGUUCGGUCCCUAUCUGCCGUGGGCGCUGGAGAACUGAGGGGGGCUGCUCCUAGUACGAGAGGACCGGAGUGGACGCAUCACUGGUGUUCGGGUUGUCAUGCCAAUGGCACUGCCCGGUAGCUAAAUGCGGAAGAGAUAAGUGCUGAAAGCAUCUAAGCACGAAACUUGCCCCGAGAUGAGUUCUCCCUGACCCUUUAAGGGUCCUGAAGGAACGUUGAAGACGACGACGUUGAUAGGCCGGGUGUGUAAGCGCAGCGAUGCGUUGAGCUAACCGGUACUAAUGAACCGUGAGGCUUAACCUU